rnacentral:rRNA from 1 species
CCGCGUGAGUGAAGAAGGGUUUCGGCUCGUAAAACUCUGUUGUUAAAGAAGAACAUAUCUGAGAGUAACUGUUCAGGUAUUGACGGUAUUUAACCAGAAAGCCACGGCUAACUACGUGCCAGCAGCCGCGGUAAUACGUACGUGGCAAGCGUUGUCCGGAUUUAUUGGGCGUAAAGCGAGCGCAGGCGGUUUUUUAAGUCUGAUGUGAAAGCCUUCGGCUCAACCGAAGAAGUGCAUCGGAAACUGGGAAACUUGAGUGCAGAAGAGGACAGUGGAACUCCAUGUGUAGCGGUGAAAUGCGUAGAUAUAUGGAAGAACACCAGUGGCGAAGGCGGCUGUCUGGUCUGUAACUGACGCUGAGGCUCGAAAGCAUGGGUAGCAAACAGGAUUAGAUACCCUGGUAGUCCAUACCGUAAACGAUGAAUGCUAAGUGUUGGAGGGUUUCCGCCCUUCAGCUGCUGCGGCUAACGCAUUAAGCAUUCCGCCUGGGGAUACCGGCCGCAGGGCUGAAACUCAAG